GACGAACGCUGGCGGCGUGCCUAAUACAUGCAAGUCGACCUUAGUGACGAACGGGUGAUUAACACGUGGGUAACCUGCCCAGCCGAAGGGGAUAACACUUGGAAACAGGUGCUAAUACCGUAUACUGAUGGAUGGACCCGAGGUGCAUUAGCUAGUUGGUGAGGUAACGGCUCACCAAGGCCACGAUGCAUAGCUGCCCUGAGAGGAUGAUCAGUCACACUGGGACUGAGACACGGCCCAGCCUCCUACGGGAGGCAGCAGUAGGUAAUAUUCGGCAAUGGACGCAAGUCUGACCCAGCCACGCCGCGUGGAUGAAGAAGGUUUUCGGGUUGUAAAACUCUUUUGUUAGAGAAGCGGUAUCUAACCAGUAAGCCACGGCUAACUACGUGCCAGCCGCCGCGGUAAUAC
rnacentral:rRNA from 1 species